rnacentral:misc_RNA from 1 species
CCGAGUGAGGGCCCCCGGCCCGACCUCCAACCCUUCUGUAAUCGAAACCUUUGUUGCCUCGGGGGUCACCCGCGCCUCGCGGCACGGGGCCCCCGGUGGACCACAAUCAAACACUGCAUCUUUGCGUCGGAUGAAUGAGAAAAUUCAUUUA